rnacentral:rRNA from 1 species
AACGAACGCUGGCGGCAUGCCUAACACAUGCAAGUCGAACGAGACCUUCGGGUCUAGUGGCGCACGGGUUCGUAACCCGUGGGAACCUUCCCUUAGGUUUGGAAUAACUCCCCGAAAGGGGUGCCAAUACCGGAUAAUGUCUUCUGACCAAAGAUUUAUCGCCUUUGGAUGGUCCCGCGUUGGAGUAGCUAGUUGGUAGGGUAAAAGCCUACCAAGGCGACGAUCCAUAGCUGGUCUGAGAGGAUGAUCAGCCACACUGGGACUGAGACACGGCCCAGACUCCUACGCGAGGCAGCAGUGGCGAAUAUUGGACAAUGGGCGAAGGCCUGAUCCAGCAAUGCCGCGUGAGUGAUGAAGGCCUUAGGGUUGUAAAGCUCUUUUACCCGGGAUGAUAAUGACAGUACCGGGAGAAUAAGCUCCGGCUAACUCCGUG